UGGGGAAUAUUGGACAAUGGGCGCAAGCCUGAUCCAGCCAUGCCGCGUGAGUGAUGAAGGCCCUAGGGUUGUAAAGCUCUUUCACCGGUGAAGAUAAUGACGGUAACCGGAGAAGAAGCCCCGGCUAACUUCUUGCCAGCAGCCGCGGUAAUCCGAAGGGGGCUAGCGUUGUUCGGAUUUACUGGGCGUAAAGCGCACGUAGGCGGACUUUUAAGUCAGGGGUGAAAUCCCGGGGCUCAACCCCGGAACUGCCUUUGAUACUGGAAGUCUUGAGUAUGGUAGAGGUGAGUGGAAUUCCGAGUGUAGAGGGGAAAUUCGUAGAUAUUCGGAGGAAAACCAGUGGCGAAGGCGGCUCACUGGACCAUUACUGACGCUGAGGUGCGAAAGCGUGGGGAGCAAACAGG
rnacentral:rRNA from 1 species